GGGCGCGUAGCUCAGCUGGUUAGAGCGCCACGUUUACACCGUGGAUGUCCGGGGUUCGAAUCCCUGCGUGCCCA
rnacentral:tRNA from 1 species